GAUGAAGAACGCAGCGAAAUGCGAUAAGUAGUGUGAAUUGCAGAAUUCAGUGAAUCAUCGAAUCUUUGAACGCACAUUGCGCCCCUUGGUAUUCCAUGGGGCAUGCCUGUUCGAGCGUCAUCUACACCCUCAAGCUCUGCUUGGUGUUGGGCGUCUGUCCCGCCCCCGCGCGUGGACUCGCCCCAAAUCCAUUGGCAGCGUUCCUUGCCCCCUCUCGCGCAGCACAUUGCGCUUCUCGAGGGCGGCUCCGGGACGCGAUCCAGCAAGAUGACCACCGUCUUUGACCUCGGAUCAGGUAGGGAUACCCGCUGAACUUAAGCAUAUCAAAAGCGGAGGA
rnacentral:misc_RNA from 1 species